rnacentral:rRNA from 1 species
CGACGGCAGCACGGACUUCGGUCUGGUGGCGAGUGGCGAACGGGUGAGUAAUGUAUCGGAACGUGCCUAGUAGCGGGGGAUAACUACGCGAAAGCGUGGCUAAUACCGCAUACGCCCUACGGGGGAAAGGGGGGGAUCGCAAGACCUCUCACUAUUAGAGCGGCCGAUAUCGGAUUAGCUAGUUGGUAGGGUAAAGGCCUACCAAGGCAGUGAUCCGUAGCUGGUUUGAGAGGACGACCAGCCACACUGGGACUGAGACACGGCCCAGACUCCUACGGGAGGCAGCAGUGGGGAAUUUUGGACAAUGGGGGAAACCCUGAUCCAGCCAUCCCGCGUGUGCGAUGAAGGCCUUCGGGUUGUAAAGCACUUUUGGCAGGGAAGAAACGGCGCCGGAUAAUACCUGGCGUCACUGACGGUACCUGCAGAAUAAGCACCGGCUAACUACGUGCCAGCAGCCGCGGUAAUACGUAGGGUGCAAGCGUUAAUCGGAAUUACUGGGCGUAAAGCGUGCGCAGGCGGUUUGGAAAGAAAGGUGUGAAAUCCCAGAGCUUAACUUUGGAACUGCACUUUUAACUGCCAAGCUAGAGUAUGUCAGAGGGGGGUAGAAUUCCACGUGUAGCAGUGAAAUGCGUAGAGAUGUGGAGGAAUACCGAUGGCGAAGGCAGCCCCCUGGGAUAAUACUGACGCUCAUGCACGAAAGSGUGGGGAGCAAACAGGAUUAGAUACCCUGGUAGUCCACGCCCUAAACGAUGUCAACUAGCUGUUGGGGCCUUCGGGCCUUAGUAGCGCAGCUAACSCGKGAAGUUGACCGCCUGGGGAGUACGGUCGCAAGAUUAAAACYCAAAGGAAUUGACGGGGAC